UCCGAUCCUCGGCUGCGUCGUCUUAAUCGCCCUUGACUCUAUUCGCUCCUUCGAUUGCCAUUCCACUGGGAGUAACGAUGACUCCGGCGGCUUUAUCUCCGAUCCUCCGCUGCGUCUUCAUCUCCGCUGCCGUAUAUCCUGCUCCACGACGCUCCGGCGAUGACGAAAUCCAUCAACUGAGAGCCACACCUGCCAGGUCGCUUCGUCUCCGAUUAAUUUUAGAAUUGAUUUCGAUUGCUUUCGGAUUUGUCUUUUGAUUUCUGUUCUGUUUUGUGUCAAUUCUGAUGUUGUUCAUAAGAAAACAGAGGGACCAAUGAGCUUGAGGGCGUUCCGUGGAGAUGAAGCCGGGGCGUUGGAACGUGAACCAUAGCAACGGCCGCCUCAUGAUUGCCGUGCGUGUCAUCACCUUAUCACCGCCAGGUUGUUUCUUUUCCAAUUAAGUGAUUCGACUUCUUGGGCUCUUUGUCUAUAUCACAUAUGGUGGAGGGACUUAAUUUGGCCGUACAAAAGAAGAAGGGGCUCUCAUAUUCAAUAUAUACUUGUGGGGUCAGUAGAUUUGUCAGAGGAAGAAAAAUGAAAAGGCGUGAGUUCUAAUUUUCUCAUCCCCUUCAGCCGCGCAAAAAGAACAGUAAAAAGGUGGAGUUGGCCUUCUAGCCACGCGGAGAGGAAGAGGAACACAUGGUGAUCCUUUUUUGCGCGAAGAGUUUACAUCCUCGGUCUCUUUCUGGAGAUGCGGGUAACCGAAAUUCUCCAUAAGGCUUAAACACUGCUUUUGGUGGAAUCCAAGGUUGAGAAGCGCUUGAAUAUGUGAGCUAUUGUACUUUAUAAUCCUUCAAUUAGUUGCAAGUGAUCUCCCUAUAAAGUAGAUAGCCACAUCAUGCGUUUCUUAUU